rnacentral:ribozyme from 12 species
AAUCAAUAACAAAUAACAAACAAUAAAGAAAGAGUCUCUCUGUUUCUGUCUCUCUUUUUGUCUUUCUCUGUGUUUUGUUUGUUUGUUCCAUCCUAUCCUAUCCU